rnacentral:rRNA from 1 species
GACGAACGCUGGCGGCGUGCUUAACACAUGCAAGUCGAACGGAAAGGCCCUGCUUUUGUGGGGUGCUCGAGUGGCGAACGGGUGAGUAACACGUGAGUAACCUGCCCUUGACUUUGGGAUAACUUCAGGAAACUGGGGCUAAUACCGGAUAGGAGCUCCUGCUGCAUGGUGGGGGUUGGAAAGUUUCGGCGGUUGGGGCUGGACUGGCGGCUUAUCGGCUUGUUGGUGGGGUAGUGGCUUACCAAGGCUUUGACGGGUAGCCGGCCUGGGAGGGGGAACGGCCACAUUGGGACUGAGAUACGGCCCAGUCUCCUACGGGAGGCAGCAGUGGGGAAUAUUGCACAACGGGCGGAAGCCUGAUGCAGCAACGCCGCGUGCGGGAUGACGGCCUUCGGGUUGUAAACCGCUUUCGCCUGUGACGAAGCGUGAGUGACGGUAAUGGGUAAAGAAGCACCGGCUAACUACGUG